GAUAAUAUCCACAAUGAGCCACUCCAUUGUUUUUUCCAAGGAUGGAGAUGAAGAAUUAGAAAAAGCCUACAUCUACCUUGCCAAGACUACCUCAGCUUCUAGGAUCACUGCUGCUGCAGUGUGGAAUGUACAAAAGCCACCAACCCGCCCACAUCUGUUACAGAAAGAAAUAGCUCAGAUAAAUGCAGAGAACAUCAAGCAGUGGGGAACUGGGAGCACAAAACACAAAUAAAGAAAAGGCUGUGUCAUAGGAAAUGAAGAGUGGAGAAAGUUUUUAGGAGAAAGGAAGGGGAAGCAAGGAAAAGCAGCUGAUGCACAGUCCCUAUAGCAGUAUACAUGGAAGUACAAGAAACCUCUUGCCCCAGGCUUGCUGAAGUCCGUGUUUGCUUCCUUAAAAGGUCCUGUGGGGCUGGAAACAUGGCAUGACUGGAAACUCUUUUCAGAACUCCUCACUAUUUUCAGUCUUUUUAGUUAGAUGGCACCAGAAUAACUACAUAUUGAAGUAAGCCUGCCUGCAACUGGGGCAAUUUCAGCUCUUGCUCAUACAUCUUUUCUCUAGCAAGGAAAGGUCAUAAUUAAAAUAUUUCAAACCAACAUCCCCUGCACUUCAAUAUUCAUUUGGGUUUGAUUUUAAUUGCUACUAUGUGCUUAAGAGAUAAGCUUUUUUUGUCCUGGUUCAUUUGUUUGUUCUUUGAAAGGACAGCACAGAAGAUUCUCUAUGAAAUGCACGCAACAAAGCAUGACAUUUGGCCUACGAAUGCAGAAUAGCAGAAACUCCUUGCACACAUUUGGAGAAGGUCAGGAUCAGUGUAGCACUCUGAAGUCAUCAGAGCUACUUUCUUAAACCUGCAAACCUAAGACUGCAGUAGAAUUAUUAAUAUGCUAUUGAAUUGCUUCCAGUUUACCACUUUGACUCGUAGUCAGAUAAAGGAUUGAGAAAUUGCUCCCCUUUAGUGCUACUUAACAGAGGAGGAUUUUUCAGCAACAAACUCCAUUAGCAGGCUCUGUGCUACAUGAUGGUGUACAGCAGGAACCUUUUCUCUCUGUAUUCCUAUGCACACAUCAUUAAGAGAGAUAAUUAAUUCCAGAUGAUUUCCACUUCCAGAAAGUUCUCAUUGUUGCUCAGGGUUCAUGCUGAAAAGCCCAGUGCAGAGCAGCUGCUGAAAGCCAUCCCCCUCCAGCACCACAGUAUUUGCCCAUACAAGAAGUCACCCAGACCCUUGAGAAUAAGCAGGUGAAGGUCAAAAUAUGAAAAACAGAAGAAAACAAACAAAAAAAUUUCUUUGGUAAAACAUUUGGAUGUCAUUCAGGGGACAAAACCACACCCUCAGAUACUUGAUCUCUAACAGGACGUCAUAUACAUUGCAGGUUCAUACAAUCACAGAAUACCAGGUUGGAGGGGACCUCAAGAAUCCUCUGGUGCAACGUUUCUUGUGAAAAGCAUUGUCUAGAGGAGAUGGCCCAACACUCUGUUUAGCUGAAUAUUUAGAUUGCCCAAUAUUGGGGAACCUGUUUGGUAUAGUAAUAUUAAAUGUAGUGAUGUUAUAGAAUUGUCUGACUGUGGUACAGCUACUGGAAAUUGAAAUAGUGGAACAUAAGCCAUGGACAGGAGAGAGAGCACGAGCUCA